GGGGAAUAUUGCACAAUGGGGGAAACCCUGAUGCAGCGACGCCGCGUGGAGGAAGGAGGUCUUCGGAUUGUAAACUCCUGUUGUUGGGGAAGAUAAUGACGGUACCCAACAAGGAAGUGACGGCUAACUACGUGCCAGCAGCCGCGGUAAAACGUAGGUCACAAGCGUUGUCCGGAAUUACUGGGUGUAAAGGGAGCGCAGGCGGGAAGACAAGUUGGAAGUGAAAUCUAUGGGCUCAACCCAUAAACUGCUUUCAAAACUGUUUUUCUUGAGUAGUGCAGAGGUAGGCGGAAUUCCCGGUGUAGCGGUGGAAUGCGUAGAUAUCGGGAGGAACACCAGUGGCGAAGGCGGCCUACUGGGCACCAACUGACGCUGAGGCUCGAAAGUGUGGGUAGCAAACAGGAUUAGAUACCCUGGUAGUCCACACCGUAAACGAUGAUUACUAGGUGUUGGAGGAUUGACCCCUUCAGUGCCGCAGUUAACACAAUAAGUAAUCCACCUGGGGAGUACGACCGCAAGGUUGAAACUCAAAGGAAUUGACGGGGGCCCGCACAAGCAGUGGAGUAUGUGGUUUAAUUCGACGCAACGCGAAGAACCUUACCAAGUCUUGACAUCCCUUGACAGACAUAGAAAUAUGUUUUCUCUUCGGAGCAAGGAGACAGGUGGUGCAUGGUUGUCGUCAGCUCGUGUCGUGAGAUGUUGGGUUAAGUCCCGCAACGAGCGCAACCCUUAUGGUCAGUUACUACGCAAGAGGACUCUGGCCAGACUGCUGUUGACAAAACGGAGGAAGGUGGGGAUGACGUCAAAUCAUCAUGCCCUUUAUGACUUGGGCUACACACGUACUACAAUGGCGUUAAACAAAGAGAAGCAAGACCGCGAGGUGGAGCAAAACUCAGAAACAACGUCCCAGUUCGGACUGCAGGCUGCAACUCGCCUGCACGAAGUCGGAAUUGCUAGUAAUCGUGGAUCAGCAUGCCACGGUGAAUACGUUCCCG
rnacentral:rRNA from 1 species